rnacentral:misc_RNA from 1 species
AGUGCAAGAAUAAUUGUUCCUGCUCUGCAUAUGCAAGCAUACCAAUUGCAGGGAAAGAAACUGGUUGUUUGGCAUGGUAUGGGGAAUUAAUAGAUACAAUAUACCAUAUUGUUUAUGGAUAUGAUUUGCAUGUUCGUGUUGAUGCUAUUGAAUUAGCUGAGGAAGCUAGAAAAUCACACUCCUCUCUUAAAAUGGAGGGGAUGCUGCCCAUUCUGGUAUCGUCUGUUGCAUCAGUAUGGUUUGCCAUUGCCAUAUUUGCCUAUUUAUGGCUAAGGAGGAGAAGAGUGAAGAAUAAAAGGAACAGGAG